AAAUAAUAAAAUAUAAAAUUAAACACAAUAAAGAAUAAAAGAUUUAUUAAGAUUUUUUUUUUCUCUUCCUUUGACGUGAUAAAAAUGAAAAUUAAAUACAAAUUUAUUAUGUAUAUUUUUAUAUCUCAAAUGUUUUGUUUUAGGCUUAAAUUAGUUAUCAUUUUUUUUUCAUUUUUUUUCGUGGUUACCCAUUGUCUAUAUCUAUCUCAUCAUCUUCAAUAUCAUACCACCCAAAACCUUAUGUAUCCACCAAUAAAUCAUCGUGGUUUCCUUCUAUCGUCGCCAGAAAUUCGCAAUCUUUACACCUUCCAUCGUCGCCAGAAAUUCGCAAUCUUUGCACCUUCCAUCUUCGUCAACCACCACAUAACAACAAAGCCAUCGCAAGCCACUAUUGUUCAUCAUCAUCAAAUUUGUGAAUCACAACACCACUUAGAAUCAUAUCACCAUCCAUCAACAACGAACCAUGUCAGAACAACGCCACAAGCCCCUAUUGUUCGACCACCACAACAACUACCUGCAUCUCCUUCCUUGUCACCGUGAGUACCACUGCGAGCCACCAUCACCACCUCGCGAGCAGCCUACAAUAAAAUCACAACAUCACUUUAUCAACCACUGUGAACUACUACACCCACCAAAAAUCGUAAUCAAUCUUCAUUUAUGUCAUCAACAACCAUCACAUGUUCAAACUUGCAAAUUAGAAAGCCCUAAAUUGGAAAAGAAAUAAAAACUCAAAAAUUGCGAGCACCCAAAAUCACAAUCAACCUUCAAUUACACCAUCAACAACCAUCACAAAACCACCAUCACCUUUUCAAAUUAGCAAAUUAGAAAGCUCCAGAUUUGAAAAGAAAUCAAACCUAAAAUCGCGAAUCACAUCCUGAACUUGCAAUCCUAAAUCGCAAUGUCAGUUCGCACCACCACAAAUCUCCCUUUCCAAAACCGUCACGAAACCUAGUUGCCAUCACCACACACAAUCUCAUAUGUCAUCUUUUCCACUACGAGCAACUUGCGAAUCGAAAAAAGACCAGACCAGAAAAUCCCAAAUCUCGCGGCCUCUUGUGCCUCCAUCUUCGAACAACACAAUAAAACCCUAAUUUUUUUGGUGAAAGAUGAAAUUGCCAUGUGUCAAUCUCUCAAUGGACAAUUGUCGCACAUAUAAAAAAACUUACAUCUCAUUACUAACAUAAGCACUGUGUCAUGAUUUAAACAAAAGUGACUAAAUUGAACAAAAAUUGAAAUCACUUUCGA
rnacentral:lncRNA from 1 species